rnacentral:rRNA from 1 species
AUUGAACGCUGGCGGCAUGCCUUACACAUGCAAGUCGAACGGUAACAGGUCUUCGGAUGCUGACGAGUGGCGAACGGGUGAGUAAUACAUCGGAACGUGCCUAGUAGUGGGGGAUAACUACUCGAAAGAGUGGCUAAUACCGCAUGAGAUCUACGGAUGAAAGCAGGGGAUCGCAAGACCUUGUGCUACUAGAGCGGCCGAUGGCAGAUUAGGUAGUUGGUGGGAUAAAAGCUUACCAAGCCGACGAUCUGUAGCUGGUCUGAGAGGACGAUCAGCCACACUGGGACGGAGACACGGCCCAGAUUCCUACGGGAGGCAGAAGUGGGGAAUUUUGGACAAUGGGCGCAAGCCGGAUCCAGCAAUGCCGCGUGCAGGAUGAAGGCCUUCGGGUUGUAAACUGCUUUUGUACGGAACGAAAAGCCCCGGGUUAAUACCCUGGGGUCAUGACGGUACCGUAAGAAUAAGCACCGGCUAACUACGUGCCAGCCGCCGCCGUAA